AUACGGAGGGGGCUAGCGUUGUUCGGAAUUACUGGGCGUAAAGCGCGCGUAGGCGGGCUGUUAAGUCGGGGGUGAAAUCCCGGGGCUCAACCCCGGAACUGCCCUCGAUACUGGCAGUCUUGAGAUCUGGAGAGGCGAGUGGAAUUCCGAGUGUAGAGGUGAAAUUCGUAGAUAUUCGGAGGAACACCAGUGGCGAAGGCGGCUCGCUGGCCAGAUACUGACGCUGAGGCGCGAAAGCGUGGGGAGCAAACAGGAUUAGAAACCCCUGUAGUCC
rnacentral:rRNA from 1 species